rnacentral:lncRNA from 1 species
ACAAAUUGGAUAACAAAGGUUUAGAACUCGGCAUUCAUGUUGUUGUUUCUCUUUGUGCACAAAUCAUUUUAUGAGGUGUUGUCCAACUUGACCCUUUUUCACUCAAAUUUUUCUUUUCUUUUGAGUAUCACAUUAAUGCAUGAGUCUUUGACCUCGACAUUCUAUUUUUCUUUUCUUUUUUCUUUUUUUUCAGUAGAAGAGGAUGUUUCUG